UACGUAGGGUGCAAGCGUUACUCGGAAUUACUGGGCGUAAAGCGUGCGCAGGCGGCUUUGCAAGACAGAUGUGAAAUCCCCGGGCUUAACCUGGGAACUGCAUUUGUGACUGCAUGGCUGGAGUGUGGCAGAGGAAGGUGGAAUUCCACGUGUAGCGGUGAAAUGCGUAGAGAUGUGGAGGAACACCGAUGGCGAAGGCAGCCUUCUGGGCCAACACUGACGCUUAUGCACGAAAGCGUGGGGAGCAAACAGG
rnacentral:rRNA from 1 species